AACGAGUUUCACACAAGUCUUCUAAAUUUGUUAUAGGUUACACCUGCUCGUUU
rnacentral:tRNA from 1 species